UUGUCUCAUCACUUUCUGAGGUAGAGUUCAUGUCGAUUCAAUGAUUUCUACAUCUGGUGUAGCCAAUUUGAAUGCUCUAUUGAUUUGCAUCAUUAUGGGAUAUUGCAGCUGUGGAUCCAGACUGCUACUGAAAGCAACUCCUAGUGAAAUGAUGAAUCUACAGCUAGUUAAAAUGAAUUUAUUUCUCUUAAUAGCUAAGCUUUUCAUCAAUAAAUCCAUUAGAGUACCUUUGUGCUUGCUUCAAGAAUAGAUUUAACUUCACAAAUUUUGAAUAUAACAUCACUCAUUCAGUGGCAGACUGGAGUGAGAGUGGAGAAAGAUGAGAGCAGCUUAGAAGAAGAUGCUGGACUUUUGGGUUUGCAUUGUCAUGGAAAAUAUUAGGGGAUUCAAUAAAAUGCAGGAGAUAGUUGAUUAAAGUGUUGAGCUUUGCUCUUCACUCUUGACAAAAAACAGUGCCAAUCUCAAAAGGCUUAAGAAGAUCAGAUCAGAUCAAGUCAUUUGUUUCUUUUAUAAUCUUUUGUCUAAAAAGAAACUCAAAUUUAGCUCUUUCUCAUUGGCUGAUUGAUAUGCUUGCUAUAAUUUUAACUAUUAUAUUUCAUCUGUAUUUAUUAUUUUUUUAAGUUCAUCACAUAUAUUUAAAAAUAAAUACAUAUUUUUGUUUAUAUUAUAAAUUAUUUUAAUAGUUUAUUAAUUUUGUCACUUAUAUUUUUAAACUUGAUACUUGCCAAUAAAACGCAUUAAUAAGCCGACAAAAAACGCAUUAAUAAAAAUUAAUUAAAAACAAGGUUGAAUUUGCUCAAUAUUUAUAAGAGCUCAAAAAAUUAAAAAUAUAACCAUUGAACAGUGACAUCCAAGAGAUGUCACAAUCUGGCCCAAACCUUGACAUUUUUCUCCUCUUACUCGUGUCUGCGUGAGUAUAUGCGCAUCACAUGUGUAACCAACAAAACUAAGUAUAUUAUACUAUAAACCAUAUAAUAUAGUCUAAGUACUAAUACAAACAAACAUGGUAAAGAAGAGACACAGGUAGAAACGUGAACAAAACACCACAUCAGCAAUACUAUUCUAGACUAUACAAUGUAUAGGUGAGUGGAAACAGAAACUCACCCGAGCAUUUACCAAAUUUCUUAUGCUACCAAUUAUAAUAGAAUAAAACAAAAAUACAAUUUUGUUUAUCUUUUUAGAUAAUUUUUGUAACUGAUAGCGGUAAAAAUAAAAAUAUUAAUAAGAGUAACGGAUGAAGGAAUGUUGUUGUUGCUAUGUAAAGUAAAGGAGAAAAAUAGAUGGUAGGAGAAAAGAACAUACACUAGAGGUGGAAGAGAUAUGACGAGUGGUGACCAUGGCGGAAGAGAAAAUGACGGCGGCGAUGAAACAAUCAGUAGUAGCGAUGGUGACAAUGAUAUGCUCGAGGGGAAUGAAGAAAAAAAAAUGACGGAGUUAGAUAUAAUCUGUAUAAUUAACAUGACACUAUACUGUUAUAUUAAAUAAAUAGUCACUACAAGAAAACACGCCUAUUGCGAGGGAAAUUUGCGAGAGAAAAUGUUCCAUGCAAAUUUGCGACAGUUUUGCAACGGAAUUGCAAAAAAAAUUAAACUCUCGCAAAUCUCUCGCAAAUUUGCGAGAGACUUGCGAGGGGAUAUAUUCUUUCGCAAAUUUGCGAGAGAUUUUGCAAGGGAAGUUACAGAGUCCUCGCAAAUUCCUUGCAAAUUUGCGAGAAAAAAUUUCUCUAGCAAAUUUGCAAGAGAUUUGCAAGAAUUUUGUCUGAGUAUCUUGUUUCUUCACAAUUCCCUCGCAAAUUUGCAAUGGAUUUGCAAAGAAGAUGCAUGAUAUGUACAUUUUGACAUUUCUAUCACAAAAUCGAAUAAAAUUAAUAAAUAAAAAAAUUAAUUAAAAUAUUUAGUGUUUAACAAGUACAUCAAUAUAUUCGCUGGAUAAAUAUUUCCCAACACCUGAACUAAUAUUACUAAGUACUAAACAUCAAAACUCUAUAAUUUAUACAAUAAAUACACAUCAACUAAAUUUCUAAAAAAAUUGAAACAAAUUUUCACGUUAAUUAUAUUUUCAAACAAUAAAUAAAAAAUACAUAUAAAUUCAACAAAAAUAUUCCAACCCCCAAACAAAACCCUAAAAUGAUUGACUUAUGAAUUUGCAAGGAAUUUGCAAAGGAUCCCUCGCAAUUCUCUUGCAAAUUUGCGAGAGUACCUAAGCACUCGCAAAUUAGCAAGGGAUUUGCAAUGGAUUCCUCACAAAUCCAAUGCAAAGUUGCGAGAGAUUCAAUUUCCCUUGCAAAUUUGCAAGGGAUUUGCAAGAGACUCGUUGCAAUUUCCUUGCAAAUCCAUUUUUCCAAACUUAAAUGGUUUGGGUUUCAUCAAGGAUUUUGGUGUAGAAUAACACAUUUUAUUGAAUCAUUUAGUGUUUAAAAUAUUAGUCAAAAAACAUUUUCAGAAAUUUAAUUAACCAUAGUUAUGAACUUAAGUCCCAACACUUAAUUUGUUAUUGCAAGUAAGUAACAUCAAACCCUUGUAACGUAUAUAACUCAUAUACGUCAACUAAAUUUCCGGAAAAUGUUAAGCAUACUUUCACAUUAAUUAUUUGUUUUGAAUCAAAUCACUAACUAGUAAAUACAUUUAGUCUACCGAAAACAUAAGAAAACCUCAAACGAAACCCUAAAAUACACUCUUUAUGAAUUUGCAGUGGAUUUGCAAGGGAAUCCUUGCAAUUCCAAUUCCCUUGCAAAUCGCAAAUUUGUGAGAGAAUUGUGAGGAAUCCAUUGCAUUUCCCUUGCAAAUUCAUUUUUUCCAACUCAAAAUGAAAAUUCAAAACUAGUGAUGAUUUAAACUCUAAUACAAUCAACUUUAUAAUGUUUGAAAACUUAAACUCUUAAUCUUAAAUAAAAACUUAUAAACUAAAUGUUUGAUUAAAACUUAAUCUCAAACUAUAUAUCUAUUUCCAAACUUUAACCAUAAACCCUAAAACACAUUUAUCCCAAACACCAUAUCUCAAAUUUAAUCACCAAAAUCCAAACACCAACUUUAAUCUUUUAAAAUUUAAACACCAAAACUUUAACAUAACUAAUAAUCAAGAAAAUUCAAAUAAUAUCCUAAAAUUUUACUUUAAACCCCAAACCUAAUACUCCAAAUAAUAUUUAAUCAUAAACAUUAACCUUUUAUUUAAAAUUUUAAUAUAUUAAUAUAACCUUAAAUCUUAAGGUUGAACUCAAAUUUUCAUAUUUUAAAAUUUUAAUUUCAUAUCUUAAAUCCAAACCAUAAACUCCAAAUAUAAACCAUACCCAAAUCAUAUAUCCUAAACUCAAAUUAAAAAAUAAAAUCUUGUCACUUUUGUUAAUGUGAUAUAUCAUUAACAUUAUAAAAUUUAUAACUUUAUAAAAUUUAUAACUGUUAUAUAAAUAAAAUUAGUUAAACAAUAAAAUUACAAUUUCUAAAACUAUUAUUAAACAAAAACACAGUUUGUAGUUCGAUAAUCUCUGACCAUUGAUAACUUUUGAUCCAAUGGCCUUAAAUCAAUCUUUUGUUAAUCCUUGUCACUCUUUCUCAUUGGUUCACAUUGUAAAAGGUGGAUCACUCAUUAUUAAUCUCAGUCGUUGAUAAGUGUCAAUCUAAAGAAAUGAAUUAAUGUAUUUGAUUUAAUAUUUUCUUUAUCUUUUUCUUCCUUCUCGUCCCUGUCGAGACUUCAUGCUUCCUCUUCUCCUCUCUCAUCGUCUCUUCUAUUUCUCUUCUUCUCAUCUCCUCAAUGAAAAAAAGACAGAGCAAGCAUCAACAAUCGUUGUGGUGAUGUGAUGAGUCGGCAGUGGUGGCGUGACGAAUCAGUGGUCGCCGGUGGCGAGCAUGGAGGAGCGGUGGCGGAACGUGGAUGACGAGGCAGAAAAGCUUAAUGGCGGAGGAAGCAGAAAAGCUUCACGGUGGAGGCAGACGCGGACGAGACAAGGCGUGGUCACGUAGGGUUGGUGGUGUUAAACAGAGAUGUCGCUGGAGUACUGGUGGCGUUUGCCGGAGACGUCAAAGGAGGCGGAGGCGGAGGCGUGAGUAGUUAGGGCUUUAGGUUUAGGUGUGAACUGUAUAAUUUUUUUAUUAGGUUAAUUGUUUAAAACUACUUUAAUUUGUAAUACAAAUUCAAUUAUUUUGUAAAUAAAAAUUAAUAAAUUAUAUAUUUUAAUUGCA